CGGGCUGGACACCCCCCGCUGGGCACUGCUUCACGGCGUGCGCGGCGGGGCCGGCCCUGCUGAAUUAUUCACCCGUGUCUUUUGCGUACUUCUUGUUUCCUGGGUGGGCUCGCCCGCCCUCAGGACCAACCACAAACCUUUUGCAAUAGCAAUCAGCGUCAGUAACAACGUAAUUAAUUACAACUUUCAACAACGGAUCUCUUGGUUCUGGCAUCGAUGAAGAACGCAGCGAAAUGCGAUACGUAGUGUGAAUUGCAGAAUUCAGUGAAUCAUCGAAUCUUUGAACGCACAUUGCGCCCUUUGGUAUUCCAAAGGGCAUGCCUGUUCGAGCGUCAUUUGUACCCUCAAGCUUUGCUUGGUGUUGGGCGUCUUUUGUCUCCAGUUCGCUGGAGACUCGCCUUAAAGUCAUUGGCAGCCGGCCUACUGGUUUCGGAGCGCAGCACAAGUCGCGCUCUUUGCCAGCCAAGGUCAGCGUCCAGCAAGCCUUUUUUUUCAACCUUUGACCUCGGAUCAGGUAGGGAUACCCGCUGAACUUAAGCAUAUCAAUAA
rnacentral:misc_RNA from 1 species